UACGUAGGGUGCGAGCGUUAAUCGGAAUUACUGGGCGUAAAGCGAGUGUAGGCGGUUUGAUAAGUCGGAUGUGAAAGCCCCGGGCUCAACCCGGGAAGUGCACUCGAUACUGUCAAGCUAGAGUAUCGGAGAGGUUGGUGGAAUUCUCGGUGUAGAGGUGAAAAUUCGUAGAUAUCGAGAGGAACACCGGUGGCGAAGGCGGCCAACUGGACGAAUACUGACGCUGAGACUCGAAAGCGUGGGGAGCAAACAGG
rnacentral:rRNA from 1 species